GCAUAUCAAUAAGCGGAGGAAAAGAAACCAACAGGGAUUACCUCAGUAACGGCGAGUGAAGCGGUAACAGCUCAAAUUUGAAAUCUGGCUUUCGGGUCCGAGUUGUAAUUUGUAGAAGAUGCUUUGGGUACGGUUCUAGUCUAAGUUCCUUGGAACAGGACGUCAUAGAGGGUGAGAAUCCCGUAUGUGAUUAGCCUCCGUGCCCGUGUAAAGCUCUUUCGACGAGUCGAGUUGUUUGGGAAUGCAGCUCAAAAUGGGUGGUAUAUUUCAUCUAAAGCUAAAUAUUGGCCAGAGACCGAUAGCGCACAAGUAGAGUGAUCGAAAGAUGAAAAGCACUUUGGAAAGAGAGUUAAACAGUACGUGAAAUUGUUGAAAGGGAAGCGCUUGCAACCAGACUUGUAGGCUGCUGAUCAUCUAGGGUUCUCCCUAGUGCACUCGGUAGUUUUCAGGCCAGCAUCGGUUUGAGUGGUGGGAUAAAGGCCUAAGGAAUGUGGCUCUUCGGAGUGUUAUAGCCUAAGGUGCAAUGCUGCCUACUCGGACCGAGGACCGCGCUUCGGCUAGGAUGCUGGCGUAAUGGUUGUAAGCGACCCGUCUUGAAACACGGACCAAGGAGUCUAACAUCUAUGCGAGUGUUUGGGUGUUAAACCCAUACGCGUAAUUAACGUGAACGGAGGUAAGAACCCUUAAGGGUGCAUUAUCGACCGAUCCUGAUGUCUUCGGAUGGAUUUGAGUAAGAGCAUAGCUGUUGGGACCCGAAAGAUGGUGAACUAUGCCUGAAUAGGGUGAAGCCAGAGGAAACUCUGGUGGAGGCUCGCAGCGGUUCUGACGUGCAAAUCGAUCGUCAAAUUUGGGUAUAGGGGCGAAAGACUAAUCGAACCAUCUAGUAGCUGGUUCCUGCG
rnacentral:rRNA from 1 species